rnacentral:rRNA from 1 species
UAUUAAUUGUAUUAUUUUUUAUUAUUGUUUAUUUUAUUAUUUAAUAGAAAUAACUUUAUUUUAUUAUAGUCUUAGUAUAUUUUAAGGAAUUGAUUUAUAAUAUAAUAGUUUAUUAGUAAUGAAAUUGGAUUAUGAAAUAUUAAUUUAAGUUAGUAAAAGUAGAUUUUAUUUAUUGUACCUUUUGUAUCAGGGUUUAUUAAAAUUUUAGUAUUUAUUUACUAUUCUCGAUUUAGGCCGAUUUACAAAUAAGUUUUAUUUAAUGUAUUAUAAUUAUUAGAAACUUAUUUGUAGAAAUGAAAUGUUAAUCGUUUCCUAAAAUAUCUAGUUUCUUAAGAGAAAAUUCAAUUUUUUAGAUUUAGUGUUUUUAUUUAAUUCUUUAAUUAAAAAUAUUAAUUUAUUUAUAUUUUAGGGGAUAAGCUCUAAAAUAGAUAUCCUAUAAUUUGUUUAAUUUGAAAUAUAAAAGUAAGCUUUAAAUCAGCUAUUUUUAAGAUUACGUUUUAGUUCAUUUUUAUUAAAUUUGAUUUUAUAACUGUUUUAGGUUUUUUAUUAAGAUGAUGAAUUUAAUAUUAGAUUUCUUGAAAUAAUGAUGGAAUUAGUAUAUUUAUUUUGUUUAUAAUGAUUUUAAUUGUUAAUUUAUUAAAAGGAAUUAGGCAAAUUAAUUUCCGCCUGUUUAUCAAAAACAUGUCCUCUUGAUAAUAUUAUGAGGUCUGGUCUGCUCACUGAGGAUUUUUAAAGAGCCGCGGUAUUUUGACCGUGCAAAGGUAGCAUAAUCAUUAGUCUUUUAAUUGAAGGCUGGAAUGAAUGGCUUGACGAGAAAUUAACUGUCUCUUAAUAAAUUUUAGAAUUUAACUUUUGAGUUAAAAGGCUUAAAUUUUUCUUUAGGACGAGAAGACCCUAUAGAGCUUAACAUUUAAAUUAUAUAUCUUUUUAAGUUAGUCUUUUAUAUUUAAUGGUUAUGUUUUGUUGGGGUGACAUGAAGAAUUAAUAAACUCUUCAUUAUAAAAUCAUUGAUUUAUGUUUAUUUUGAUCCAUAAUUUAUGAUCAUAGGAUUUAGUUACCUUAGGGAUAACAGCGUAAUUGUUUUUGAGAGCUCAUAUUGACAAAGCAGAUUGCGACCUCGAUGUUGGAUUAAGAAAAAUUUUGGGUGUAGUAAUUCAAUAAUUAGGUCUGUUCGACCUUUAAAUUCUUACAUGAUCUGAGUUCAGACCGGCGUAAGCCAGGUCGGUUUCUAUCCUAAGAUUUUAGAAAUUUAUAUUAGUACGAAAGGACCAUAUAGAUGAAAUAUUUUUUGUUCUCUGACUAAAAUUAAUUAUC